AAGUUUUCUUCGGAAAACGGAUUAGCGGCGGACGGGUGAGUAACACGUGGGCAACCUGCCUUAUAGAGGGGAAUAGCCUUCCGAAAGGAAGAUUAAUACCGCAUAAUAUUAUCGAAUGGCAUCGUUUGAUAAUCAAAGGAGCAAUCCGCUAUAAGAUGGGCCCGCGUCGCAUUAGUUAGUUGGUGGGGUAAUGGCCUACCAAGACGACGAUGCGUAGCCGACCUGAGAGGGUGAUCGGCCACAUUGGGACUGAGACACGGCCCAGACUCCUACGGGAGGCAGCAGUGGGGAAUAUUGCACAAUGGGGGAAACCCUGAUGCAGCAACGCCGCGUGAGCGAUGAAGGUCUUCGGAUCGUAAAGCUCUGUCUUUAGGGAUGAUAAUGACAGUACCUAAGGAGGAAGCCACGGCUAACUACGUGCCAGCAGCCGCGGUAAUACGUAGGUGGCAAGCGUUAUCCGGAAUUAUUGGGCGUAAAGGGAGCGUAGGCGGAUAUUUAAGUGGGAUGUGAAAUACAUGAGCUCAACUCGUGUGCUGCAUUCCAAACUGGAUAUCUAGAGUGCAGGAGAGGAGAGUGGAAUUCCUAGUGUAGCGGUGAAAUGCGUAGAGAUUAGGAAGAACACCAGUGGCGAAGGCGACUCUCUGGACUGUAACUGACGCUGAGGCUCGAAAGCGUGGGGAGCGAACAGGAUUAGAUACCCUGGUAGUCCACGCCGUAAACGAUGAA
rnacentral:rRNA from 1 species